AAGGAAUGCUGGCAACCUCUAGAAGCUGAAAAUGCAAGGAAACUUAUUCUUCCUUACAGCCUCUAGAGGGGAACACCAAGGGAGACUCAUGUCAGACUUCUGACCUGCAGAACUCUAUGUUUACUACUAGAAACAUCUGUGAGAAGGGCCAGAUGUGAAAUAGCUUGGAAAACAGUUUGCUGAGAGGUGCUCUACCAAAUGACUGCAUCAAUUAUUUUGACUUGGGAAACAGUGAAGCUAAGUUCAACACUGAAUAAAAAGACCAGUGUAAGAAGAGCUAAGGGACAAAAGAGAACCUGAAGUGGCCUUUCUCAUCUCGCUUUUGAGAGAAGGUAAGGAUUAAAAAGUAACUGACAUUACUUUCUCUCUCUGUAGGCCAAGGGUACUUACCCUUUAUGGUAUCAUAAAGCUCUUGGGUAAUUUAGUCAAACAUGAUGACCUUCCCUUAGCAAAUUUAAAUGAACAUUUGCACAGAAAUGCAGAGAUUUAAUGGUGACUUGAAGCCCAUCCAUGGGCUCCAGGUUAAGAUCUCCUGCUAUGAGUAUGCAUUUUUAAUCAGAAAAGUACUUGGCAAACAGAGAAUCAGGGCUCAAUAAAUGUUCAGUGACAUUCAGCUAAAAAAGUUUAAUGUAUCUUUCACAGAAGUAACAGUUAUUUUGCCGGGUUUAGAAAAAAAAAUGUCCUUAAGCUGAGAAUUAUUCUUUUAAGAUCACUGCUGAUUUGACCUUUGAGAUUAUUUUUCCUUCAAUAGUUUUAUGGUUUACCAAAUUCCCAGGUGUAGAUCAGUUAAAAGUUUAAUACAUUUCCAGACAAGUAAUAGAGGUAUGUCUUCUUUUUAGAAACAGUUGAGCAUCACUGAUUUUAUUUCAAAUAUAUUGAUAUUAUAAUUUAGCUCUAAAAUAUCAUUUUUUUCUGUUUCUGCUGGGGUUGCGGGGUAUGCAUUCAAUGUUAUCUAGCCCCACAUUGAUCCCUGUGGUGCCUCUUCUUAGAUACUUUUCUUAAACACAAUUUCUCACAUUCUCAGACCCGUGAAGUUAGGGCUGAGAAAGGUCAAUCCACUGGCCCACGCUGUCAGCUCUACCUUAGUAUGAAUGGCUGUAUUGAUUCAUCUCACACUGUCACUACUCUUUCGAUUCUAAUUGAAGCCACUGACAGAUUAAUGUAGUAGUCUACAACUCCUCUUCCUACCACAAUUUCACAAUUCAUUCUUAACACUCACUGCUCAAAAUCUUCUAAUGGCUUUUUAUCAUUCCUACAAUAUGUCUCAAACCCCUAUCUUGCUCUACAAGGCCCAUGUGGUAUAGUCUUUGCCCUGGUCAUUCAUACCACCUCAGAUAACACAUUUGUUUCACUCCAUCUAGAACCACCAAGUCUGCUUGAUGAAAAUUCCAAGCUGGUUCCUGCAUGGGGUUCUGGCCCUUGCUGUUCAUCUGCCGAGAGUGCUUGUCUCCCAAAUUUUCUCAUGGCUGGCUACUUCUCAACAUUCACAUCUCAGCUCAAACAUCACCAUUUUGGAAAGCAUAGAUGCCUAUGUCAGUCACAUCAUCUACAAUAGGUGCCUUACACACCAUCAUCCCCCCACACCAUUCUUUCAUUUUCAUUUUCCUAUUAUCUUAACCUGUUAGUAUCUAUGACUUUUUUCCUACUUGUCCGUAUAUAUUUAUUUAUUGUAUUACCAAAUUUCAGUUUAGUCUAUAACAAUGUGAAUCCCCAGAGGGUAGAAAUUUGUCUUCCUGACUGCUCUGUUCCCAGUAUAUAGCACAGUAACUGACACAUGUUAUACACUUAGCAAAAAGUAGUUGGAUGGAUGAAUCAAUAAAUGAGAAAAAUCAGUUCAUUCUCUAAUUAAUUAAUUAAUUAAUGUAUUUUUAACCAAACUUCCCUGGGCAUGAACUAUGUAUAAAGCAGAAUGACAGGCAGUAAGCCAUAUACUAAAAGCAAGAGGAACCAUAAAUUCACGCAUAGUUCAUAGUCGAGAUGCCCAGGUGUAAUAGAAUGUAGAAUGUUCCAAGUACCCUAAGACAGAUGCAGAUAAUUUGCUUUUGGAGUUCAGAAACAAAAGGUAGCUGUUUAUAGCAAGAUGGAUUGAAUCACCUGGUUCAUUCCUCCAGUAGUGAAUAGCAGCCCAUCUGCUACCUUAGGUUCUAGGAAGCUUAAUGUGGCAGCAAAUUCAUGGAUAAAUUGGAUGGGAAAGAAGCCGGAGGUAAGAAGUGUAGCUCUGAAGACAUCAGCAGACAGUGAAGAGGAAAUGAAAGGGUCAUGUGACUUGGAGAUUAAGCAAAUGCACCAGAGGAAAAGCCUGAUACAUAGUUGGUCACAUUGCAUUAAGGGAAUUGCUUUCUCUAUAUAGAAAUUAAUUUGAUAUCAAUUUUAUUGAUUUUUGGCACUUUACUAUCUCUUUAUUCAGUUUAAGAUGCUCAUCAUUAAGAAUGUGAGGACUUCCUCUUUGUAAGGAAUUAUUUAGACUGAUGGAGUCUUAGAAGCCAGCAGGACUCCAUAGUCAACCUGAAGAUGGAUGACAUAGUAAAGGUUGAUGAUGGAAUCUAUUACAAUGUCCUUGAGGAAGACAAAAGAGUCACAAAGUCUAACAUAUAGUCUUCCCCCAAAAUUAGGUCUUCUUUUAGAGUACCCUAAUUCAGAGAAUAGCAGCACAACUAUUUUACUGUAUAAGCAAGGUUUCUGGGAAAAAAAUCCGACACAUUUCACUUUCCCUCACAUAUGACAUGAUCCAGUUUAAGUCUGGGAGAAUGAAAGCUUAAAGCCAAGGAGUGUAUGACCUACUAAUAAUAAAAACUGACCACUAAUUUACAACUAAGGACAAUCGAUAUGGAGGUAUUAUAUUGGAUGUAAUAUCAAUCAGAAUUACAAGCACAUGGACUUGCCCAAGAUAAUUAAACUUCAAAUAUAAAUUGCUAAUUUGAGAACUCAUUGAAGGAUGUAACGGUGGAAGCGAUACACCUACAUUUAUUUUGGAAAACUGUUUAUUAUUACAUGAACAGCUUGAACCACCUCCAUUUACAUAUCAUCAUCUUUUGAAGUAAAAAGACCUGGAUCUGACUUCCUUCCUUCUUUCUUUCCUAUUCUUUUAUUUUUAAGUUUAUAUCAUGAAAUGCAUAUAAUAGACUAUAUAUAAUAUGAGUGUAUAAAGUCUAAAGAUAAAAUGACAAUAUAAUAAACUACUAUCCAGCCUAAGAAAGACACUUCUGGAUCAUAAUUCUUCCCUUCAUAAAAAGAAAACCAUCGCACUGAAUAUUUUAAUCAUAAUUUUCUUGAUCUUCUUUAUAGGAAAGUUUUACCCAUGUCUGGCCAUUCUGUAAAUGAAAUCCUAUCAUAAGCUUUUUUAGUGUGUAGUUUUUUCUUCCUGCAAAAGCUUAAUUUUUAUGUCAUCCAUCAAAAGGCCUUUUACAUAUUUUACAUUAUGCACACAAAUAAUAUAUCUAUAGUAUGUAUUUGCAGUUUAAUUAAUAAUGUUAAUGAAACAAACAGGUAUAUACACACAAACUGGUUUAACAACAGAAAAUUACCAAUAAUUUUAAUUGGUAAUUUUCAGUCAGCUUCUCUCUGAGCAUAGGAACCGCUAUCCAACUUAGAGAAAAAAACUUUUUGUCUCUUAAUUUUUUUUUGUUUUUUCUUAGCAUGUGACCACAAAUACAUGCAUUCCUUUACAAUAUUUUUAGCUUUAUGUAUUUUAACAUUCAUGUAAAUGAAAUUACUAUAAAUAUUCAAAAUUACUUGACUUUUCUCUUCAAUAUUUUGUAUUUUAUAUCCAUGUUGUUUCAUGAAACUAUAGUUAGCCCCUGUGCAUUGCUGUAGACUAUUUUACAAUUUGACUACACUAUGAUUUACUUCUCUGUUUUUUGGUCUUCUAACUGUUAUUGCUGCUUCUAUUGUGGAUGAUGCUGCUUUGCACUUUCUGGCACACCUCUCCUGAUAUACAUGUGCAAGAGUUUAUUUCGGUUAUACAUAUUCUUACAUAUUUACUGUGAAGUUAUGAAUUAGAAGUAAUCAAAUUUUCCAUGUAACUUUGGAUUAUUAUUUCAACAUCUUUGAUUCAGGUAUACCCUAUCAUUUUAUCAGUGUUCUUGUUUUAUGUUGCCAAACUUGAUAUAGGCUGGUAUCUUAAGUGUAUUAUUUUUUCAUUUCCCAAUUGAAUAAGGGUAAAGUUAUGCUCAUUUUGUUUUUCAAUCUCAUUCCACUUAUUGCAUUUGAGGUUAAACAAAUGUUCACUGGGCCGGGCGUGGUGGCUCAUGCCUGUAAUCCCAGCACUUUGGGAGGCCAAGGCGAGUGGAUCGCCUGAGGUCAGGAAUUCGAGACCAGCCUGGCCAACAUAGUGAAACCCCGUCGCUAUUAAAAAUACAAAACUUAGCCUGGCAUGGUGGCAGGUGCCUGUAAUCCCAGCUACUCAGAAAGCUGAGGCAGGAGAAUUGCUUCAACCUGGGAGACGGAGGUUGCGGCGAGCCAAGAUCGCGCCAUUGAACUCAAGCAUGAGUGACAAGAGCAAGACUUUGUCUCAAAAAAAAAAAAAAAAAUUCACUGGACAUUUCUGUUUUCUUGUCUAUGAAAUCCCUUUUCAUCCAUUUUGCCCAUCUUUCUAUUGUGAAGUCAGUCUCUUGUAUUGAUUUACAGACCUUCAUUUUGUGUUCUGGUUAUUUUGUCAGGUUUACAUAUAACAAAUAUUCUCUAAUUUUUUGCUUUGUGCUUUCACUCUCCUUACGGUAGCUUUUAAUAAAUAGAGUUUUUUUAUUUUUGUGUGCUCAGAUUUAUAUGUCUUUCCUUUAACUUGUUUCUUCUAAGGUGUUAAGUUUUUGUCAUAUAUAGAUUCUAUAAUAUUAAUUCUUUUAUAAAGUUUUUACAUUUAAACUCUUAAAUGUUUAAAACCUUAUUUUUGUGAAUAUAAUGAAGUGAUACUUUUUAUUCUCUCUUAUAUUUGACUAAUUGUUCUAUUCUUUUGAAUCAUCAUUCUAUUCCCACUGAUUUUAAAUCAAAAUCUAUCAAAAAUUAAACACGGAUUUAUCCAUAUGUCUUCCAUCCUCUACCAUCUUCAAUUACCUAUAACUGCACAAAACCAAAAUCAGGUAUAGUCUUUAUUACUAUACGUUUAUUAUAAGUCUUGAUAUCUGCAGCCAAGUCUUAUUAUUUUCCUUUAUAAAAGUAUUAAUAAAUAUUGGCUCUUUGCUAUUCUGAGGAAUAUAUUAUUUGAGUUGUCAAUUUUCAGUCAUGCUCCUCCCAGAAAUGCUUUCUGAGUUUAUUAGAAUUAUAACAAAUUAGUAUAUAAUUUAUUAUUAGAAGUUGAAGUUUUUAUAAUAUUUACUUAGGUAAUCCUUAAUGGCUAUAAAGUAAAAUUGUCUGAUUUUCUCUCUAAGGUUCUUGCACCAUUAUUUUUAUUCAAGGGGAUCUUAGUUUUGUUUCUAUUAAAAGUAGUAUCCAUUUUAAAUGACACAUUUUAUAAUAUAACUAUUACUGAUAAUUAGAAACACAAUUUACUUUUUUCUUGUGUGGAUUAGAUAUCUGACAAACUUGUUCAACUCUCUCAUGAAUUUCAUAAUUAUCUGUAGAUUACAUUAGGGUACUAUAUAGAAAAAAAAUAUUUUCUGGAAGUAAUGAUAAUAAGUUUUUCCUUUCCCAUCCUCCUAAUCCUUCCUUCCUUCCUUCCCUUCUUCCUUCGUUCCUUCCUUCCUUCCUUCAUUCCUCCCCUCCUUCCUUCCUUCUUUCCUUCCUUAAAGAUUUCUUAGUUUUAAGUUAUAUACCUGGUUAAAAUGUUGUAGAGAAAUGUUGUAGAGAAGGGGCGGAAAACAUGCAAGCAUGCAUGCAUGCACAAUGACUGGGAAAAAGGAGAAUUUCCUAAAAUUGCCUUUUCUUUUUCUUUAUUCAAUUAGAAAUGUUAUAAAAACAGGAUAAAGCAAAAAUGACUAUCAAUUAUUUAAGCUUAGAAGUAUUCAUAAUUGCCAUAAUUCUCUGCCAGAUAUUUGUCCAGGAGUAGUAAAUAAAAUUUGUCUCCUAUAGAGAAUGUCAAGGACUGUCGUAGGGAAGUGAAAAAAUAUGAAAACUAAACUUCGCUUACAUUGACAAAUUCAUUAUAAAUAGGGUCUCAGAGGAAAAUCACUGUUAUGUAUUUCUUUAUGGGUGAAUCAUAAGUAAAAAUAGAAAAAAUUUUAUGUCUGUUCGAUUAUGAACUAAAUUCUGUCAGGUAAAUUCCUAUGAUUUUCUUUGAAGUCAGCACUAAUUAAACUCAUUCACGGUUCCUCUGUGAAUGUUCAAUUUUACUACAAUUUUGACUUUGAUUAAUUUGAACACUGAAGAAAAGACUUUUCAGAAACCAUGUGAGCAAAAUGUUUUCUCCAACCCAGUAGCACUAUUCAUUUAAUCUUUCUACAAGGUAUACAUAGAUCAGAAUAUUUCAUUGUACCCCAUAAAUAUAAACAAUUAUUUGUCAAAUAAAAAUAAGUUAAUGAAAUAAAAUAAAAUAAAAUCUGCACCUAAAAAAAGAAACAUAUUUGGAAACUGAAACUAUGUGGGUAUUUCUAAUUACAGCAGUUACGAACCAACAUUUCUCUCUUGUUAACAAAGUCACAGUACUGAAGUAGUCUGGCCUCUAUGACUUUAGGAAAAUUGUGGGGUUUUGCAUGUAAAACUUUAUAUUUGCUUAAUAUUUCUACCUUUUGUGCAAGUUUGCUCAAAUGCUACCCUUUUUCUGGAGAUAUGUGUAGUUUGAUUUAGAAUGAAAAACUUCUGAAAGUUUGAUGUGAGGAUACAGAGCUGGGCAGAUUCCAAGAUUAAAGAGAAGAACCACGACAUAAAGAGGUAGGAAGCCUGAGUUGUUGCUGUUUUGAGGAUGACUAGUUGUGUAUUCUGAAAAUGACCAUUUUGUUUGUCUUGAUCUGCUUUCCUCUAUCUUUAAAAUAACAGGGAUAUGGGACUAGAUCAUCUAUGACAAUGCCUCUCUUAAAAAUUUAUACCAGUAUAAUUGGCACAAUUAAGCACUGAAUAAAUUAGAUGAAACUCAGCCACAUCAAAUCCAGUACACAAGCAGCAAUAAGAGUGAAUCAGUCCCACGCAGCUAAGUGCAAUGAGAAAAGCAGUGGACACUUCUAUUUACUCCCUUCUAUUUACCUCUUUGGUGUAUUUUUGGUUAUUUCUUGGCUUUCCUAUAUCCCUAGUUUCAGAAAACCAUCUUAGCAUGGCUUCUCAGUUAUGAGUUGUCCUUGGCUAGAGAAGGUCUAGGCUGAGGUUUCUCAAUGAAUACUCAAGAGUUGUGUUGAGUGUAGUAGUUACAAGUUGGCUUCAUAGCUAUAGCACCGCGAAUUGCCACAUCUGUAGCAUAGUAUUAGUGAUUGCAAUAAUAACACUAUUUAGUGGUGCUCUAAAAUUAGAAAAGAUAAUGCCUAUGAAGUGUGUGCUCAAUAAACGUUAGACACUGUUAAAAUUAUAAUAACAAUUAUUAUUAUUUCCCAGAGUGCUUGUUAAAUUCAGAUUUCUUGGCUUCAUCCCCAUUGGCAACCUAGGAGUGUAAUUUUAGUGAGAAGAGAUUGCAGUGUGGGGCCUUCCAUGUGCAGAAUCAUGAAUCACCAUCAAUGACCUCUUUUUCAUAGCAUAAGGACAAGAGGUUUUAUAUCAAAAGAUAAAUGGGCCAUCGUCUCUUAUAAAACUUGAAUUCUACUCCAAACUCCAGGUGUGAACCUUGAUUCUACCGGAUGCUAAAUUCAAGCAAGUUUUACUUUUGUGGAAGUUGACAAACUGAUUUUGAAAUUCACUUAGAAAUGCAAAUAGACAAUAGUAGCCAUGUUACUCUAAAAAUCAAAGAAAAACUAAUGUAUUUAUAUUUCCAAACUUCAGUAAUUUUUAAAAUAUUUAAAUCUUUAAAAAUAUUUAGGCCUGGCGUGGUGGCUCACGCCUGUAAUGCCAGCACUUUGGGAGGUCGAGGCGGGCAGAUGACGAGGUCAGGAG
rnacentral:lncRNA from 10 species